rnacentral:rRNA from 1 species
UUAACCUGCGGAAGGAUCAUUG